CCACAGUUAUUAUUAUAAUCAAUAUUGUCACAAGUUGCCGUGUAUAUAAGAAUGCCAAACUUUGUCAGUCCGAACACCAUCAUCAUCUGUAAUCCAUCAAGAUGCGUUUUCUGCUAUUGACUGUUAUUGUGGCCCUGACUGUAACUGACGUGUCGGGCGGCGGAUGGUGGCGCAGAGUCAAGUCAGGAGCGCGCAACCUAUGGCAACAACACAAGGGAACAAUAAUAAGACACGGCGUAAGGCUACUCUUGAAUGGACGAAGUGUUGAGGAUGUCGAUCUGAACGGCGAUGGUAUCUUGACUGAGGCUGAACUAAAGCAGCACAUGGAGCAACGUGAUGCUGAUGACUUGCUGCACUUUGCAGAUGAACAGGGUGAUCGUCGAGUCACACGUGACGUUAUGGAAAGAUACGUACAGGAAGCACUCCUCGACACAAGCCAGUGAGACGGUUGAAGGUACCGAAGGAACUCGACAUGAAUCAAAUGUAAUCAGAAUUUGAAUAAAGUGACGUCACUUGCAAUUA